rnacentral:ribozyme from 1 species
GUGGGAUGAUGGAUUCACACCUUCUCGUGGUAUCUGGUGUGAAGUAGCUGACGAUGCGCAUGCUCGUCGGCGAAAACCAAGAUGAAU